rnacentral:rRNA from 1 species
CAGUGGCGAACGGGUGCGUAACACGUGGGCAAUCUGCCUUAAAGUGGGGGAUAGCUCGCCGAAAGGCGAAUUAAUACCGCAUGUGAUCAGAGGCGACAUCGCUUCGAAAUCAAAGGUGGCGCAAGCUACCGCUUUUUGAGGAGCCCGCGGCCUAUCAGCUUGUUGGUGAGGUAACGGCUCACCAAGGCGUUGACGGGUAGCUGGUCUGAGAGGACGACCAGUCACACUGGGACUGAGACACGGCCCAGACACCUACGGGUGGCAGCAGUCGAGAAUUUUUCUCAAUGGGGGAAACCCUGAAGGAGCGACGCCGCGUGGAGGAUGAAGGUCUUCGGGUUGUGAACUCCUGUCAUUUGGGAACAAGUCGUACGUAUUAACUGUACGUGCGUUGAUAGUACCAGAAGAGGAAGAGACGGCUAACUCUGUGCCAGCAGCCGCGGUAAUACAGAGGUCUCAAGCGUUGUUCGGAUUCACUGGGCGUAAAGGGUGCGUAGGCGGCGCGGUAAGUCGGGUGUGAAAUCUCGGAGCUUAACUCCGAAACUGCAUUCGAUACUGCCGUGCUUGAGGACUGGAGAGGAGACUGGAAUUUACGGUGUAGCAGUGAAAUGCGUAGAGAUCGUAAGGAAGACCAGUGGCGAAGGCGGGUCUCUGGACAGUUCC